UAAUACGUAGGGUGCGAGCGUUGUCCGGAAUUAUUGGGCGUAAAGGGCUCGUAGGCGGUUUGUCGCGUCGGGAGUGAAAACCUCGGGCUUAACUCGGGGCUUGCUUUCGAUACGGGCAGACUAGAGGUAUGCAGGGGAGAACGGAAUUCCUGGUGUAGCGGUGAAAUGCGCAGAUAUCAGGAGGAACACCGGUGGCGAAGGCGGUUCUCUGGGCAUGAUCUGACGCUGAGGAGCGAAAGUGUGGGGAGCGAACAGGAUUAGAUACCCUGGUAGUCCACACCGUAAACGUUGGGCGCUAGGUGUGGGAUCCAUUCCACGGGUUCCGUGCCGCAGCUAACGCAUUAAGCGCCCCGCCUGGGGAGUACGGCCGCAAGGCU
rnacentral:rRNA from 1 species